GUGUGGCCAAGCAGGAGGUCCUUGGUUCAUUGGGGGACUUAACUCUCCAAAAGGAUUAAGGUCGUUCUCUGGUGACUCCUUGGUAAUUUGCCAGAGAGUGUAGUUAUAAAAACACGCAUUUCUCUCACUCUUUCUCUGCUUCCUGGUUUGAAAUUUGAUACUUUUUCUAAUAUAUGCCUCACCAUUGUCAUUGGGCCCUCACCAGAACCUGUGCCAGGCUAUUUGGACUUUCAGCCUCCAAAACUGUGAGCUAAAUACACCUCUUUAUUUUAUAAGCUCAUCUCAGGUAUUUCUCUAAGGUAACAAAAAGCUGACUAAUAUAAUCACAAAGUACCAAGUUGAUAUGCCAGAUUGAAGUAAAUUGACCCCAAAAAAGGCCAAUUUAACUUUAUAAUCACCAUCCAUCUUAUUAGUCCUUUGAACUUUCUUUUUUUCUAUAAAUCUAAUAUCAAUAGCUAAUUCCUUAGGAUCAAUAUUAAUCCAGCGUUUUUCAAAGUUUACUAUGUAUAAAAAUAUUCUGGGGAAUAUUUUGUUCAAUUUGUAUUCUAAUUUAAUAGGUCUGGAUAGAGUCUUGACUUUCUACAAUUCUAGCAUGUUCCUAGGAGAUGCUGGUGCUACUUACUGGUUAGUGGGCCUCAAUUAUUGGCAAGGAACUUAUUGCUCAAUAUAUAAAAUAAGCACAUAUUCUGGGUAACAUCAAAGGAAGGGUAUCCAAAAGUAUAUGAGGUUGACGGGAGGUAUUAUUUUUGGAUAUUUC
rnacentral:lncRNA from 1 species